rnacentral:rRNA from 1 species
AACGAACGCUGGCGGCAGGCCUAACACAUGCAAGUCGAGCGCGCCUUCGGGUGAGCGGCGGACGGGUGAGUACCGCGUGGGAAUAUGCCCUUCUCUACGGAAUAGUCCUGGGAAACUGGGGGUAAUACCGUAUACGCCCUUUGGGGGAAAGAUUUAUCGGGGAAGGAUUAGCCCGCGUUGGAUUAGGUAGUUGGUGGGGUAAUGGCCUACCAAGCCGACGAUCCAUAGCUGGUUUGAGAGGAUGAUCAGCCACACUGGGACUGAGACACGGCCCAGACUCCUACGGGAGGGAGCAGGUGGGAAUCUUAGACCAUGGGGGCAACCCUGAUCUAGCCAUGCCGCGUGAGUGAUGAAGGCCUUAGGGUUGUAAAGCUCUUUCAGCUGGGAAGAUAAUGACGGUACCAGCAGAAGAAGCCCCGGCUAACUCCGUG